CUGGAUUUGUUAUUGUUUAUGGGAAUAAAAAUUAAAAUCUUUAAUCUGCCACUGAUCACUAAUAGAAGAUCCAGAUUCAUUAAUUGUUAUAAUUUUAUACGUGUUAAAUUGUGCAAUCCCUGUAAGCGGAGGUCGGAGGGUGACACAGUUAGAUAUGUUUGAUGGCUCAGAUAGUGGAUCCGGUGCUGAGAAAUCUUACGAACCAGACUAAGAUGCUUCCUUUGAGAUGGCAGUGAAUGUGAAAGGCGGAGGAAUGAAUGCCUUGAGAAUUUAUGUUUGUAAAUAGGUUAUGUCUAUAAACUUCCAGGUAUUCAAAAGUUUUUAGGUCCCAAAUCUGUAAAAGGGGCAAUAAAUGUUGAUUGUUACCGAUAACAAACAGUUACAAUCUAUCUCAUAUCUUAUUGAAACAUAAUACUUGUUAAUGAUUCCAGUUGUAUCAAAUUUAGUUUACUUUCAUAUGAAGUCAGGCUAAUAGCUGGUGUGACCUAAAUUUAUUUUUAUAAACUAGGUUUGUUCACAAACAUGCAAAAGCACUCAUUCACUUGACUGUGUAGAAAGCCAAGCCUCAUUUAAUUGCUUGUGUUGCUCCCGCAAAUUAUCUUUAGUUAUUUUGCUGUGUUGUCCCCCAGUUUGGAAGCUAUUAAAACUAUAUUUUUUAUUUUGUAAAUGUGUGACUAGAUUUUUUAUCUUUUUACUCACCUAUUUUAAAUUAAACACAUACAUGUUUUAAUCAGCUGUUAUUAACAUGGUGUGUGAAUGUCUUUAAAUAAUUUUAUAGAACAUAAAAUUAUUAUGAAUCUGCAAUAUUUUUAAAUUGCUAGCAGACACCAAAAUACAUCUGAUGGUAAUGAAAAUAAAUUCACUUAAGACUAUAAGGAUUCCAACCUAUAAAUACUAAACAUGAGUAGGUUAUUAUAAUUGUGAAAGGAAAAUAUUCUAAAUUCCAGUUAAUCUUGAAUGAUACUUCACUUUACUCCAAGAUCAUUUCUGAAAAAAAAAGUCAAGGAUAUGGAGUACCAGUUAACUGAAGAAGAAGGUGAUUAAUCUCAAGUAUAUUCUGGUCUUUAAGGAGGUUGAAGGUUCGAAGUAUCGGGCAUCUUGAAGCAGAUGCUAAUAGACAGAAUGAAACAUAAGUUUCAGGCUCAAGAACAACCUCACACCAAAAUUUUAAGAAAAUCCUCGCGUGAAAGAGUCCCCUCGAACAGAUGACAAUUUUCCAUCAGGUGUUAAUCUAUUAAGAACUAAUUGAACUAAAAACUUGGAAAAUGAGGAGCUAUAACGCUAAACUCUUAUUGCAAAGGUAACGGAAUGCGAAAAGCUCAGGAUUAACUAACUAGCUGGAAAGAGAAUCCUGUUAGCAAAGAAGAGCCGCACUUCAUUGUAUACAUAUAUAUAUAUAUAUAUAUUAUGUACAUCCCAAUUGAACAUUGACUGUUGACAUAUUUUUCUAUUUCGAUGGCGAUAACUUAACACUGAAUUAAUAAACGUUAUUAAAAAUUUAAAA